rnacentral:lncRNA from 1 species
UCGAAUUAAAAUCAUCCAUCAUAUAACAUCACAUAAUACAUCUCUCAGGUUUACAUAACACAAUACAUCUUCCAGAUUCACAUAAUACAUCUCACUGGUUCACAUAAUACAUCUCCCAAAUUUACAUAAUACAUCCAAACUCCAAGUCGUUCUCCUCCUUGGGCUGGAUGGCACAUGCAGCAGCCACCUGCUUCUGCAUCUCCUCGGCGAUCCUCUUCGAGGUGCUUCAUGUUGUCAGGACCUGCAACAAAUAGACAGAUUUUAGAACCAUGUUGGUCUUUCUUUUAUACUACAUACAGUACAUAACAGGAACUAAACAAGCAUCGAUGUCUCGAAGCUAGAGAAAGAACACCAGAGAGGUAAUAAACAGGAUGACUAUCAAUUGCCAAUUGAUAAAAACACUAACCGUCAGCUCAUUUAACUGAGCUAAGCAAAGGAAGGAGAAGUAUAAUGUAAGAAUAUGGCUUGAUAUUAAUUUUCAUACAUGAAAGACAACACGUAAUGUGAGUCACUCAACAGUUAACAAAACAAAACAUUCGUCAAUUAAUACUACCUAUUCAUAAAACAAAGAUUAUAAAUUUCAAGCCCAAUUUUAAGCCCAAUUGCCAGUACACAAUUAUAUAUCAACUUUAAGAUUAUUAAGUAAACUAUUUAUUAGCUGGUCUCACCAAGUCACACACAGUAGCAUACUCACUGGAUAAAUAAUAAAAUGAAAGUCAAAUACUUGAAGCCCAAGUGCCAGCACAGGCUUAUAAAUCACAUUAAAAGAUUAUUAAACUAAACAAUUUAUUGGAUGGCCUCAGUAAGUCAAAGAGUAGCAUACCCAAUUGGUUGAUGAUAGAAGGAAGAACAUCUUGUAGCUCUGUCAAGUCAAACCAUGAAUUUAAUAAGUAAUCACGAAGACAACAACAUAUUAGGAUACACACGGGUUUUUGUAGCAGACAUGUCAGGAAGGGAAAACCAAAGUGCAUAGCUUCAUAUUACAAAGGCUAAUC